rnacentral:misc_RNA from 1 species
GAAAUGCGAUACGUAGUGUGAAUUGCAGAAUUCCGUGAAUCAUCGAAUCUUUGAACGCAUAUUGCGCUCGAGGCCUCGGCUAAGAGCAUGUCUGCCUCAGCGUCGGGUUAUAUCUCAUCUCAAUCUUAACCGGUUGAUAUGGAUCUGGCCGUUCCAGUUCAGUGGGGGUACAGAGUGUGCUUGUUCGCUCAAGGGCUCUCUUAUCUAUUGACACCCUGGAUCGGCUGAAGCAUAGAAGCUAUAAUCAGGACCCGCUUGCGGGCCACAAUUGGGUAGUGGGCUUGGUCAAUGGCUUGCCGUUGGCUGUGUCGACAAUGCACAAUUGUUGGCCUGGGUUUUGGUGUGCAUGGCUUACAAACAAGGAAUAUAUACAUACUUUACUAUACCUCGACCUGAGCUC